GGACCCGCACAAGCAGCGGAGCAUGUGGUUUAAUUCGAAGCAACGCGAAGAACCUUACCAAGACUUGACAUCGCUUGAAAAUCAUAGAGAUAUGUAAUGGAGUAGCAAUACUCACAAGUAGACAGGUGGUGCAUGGUUGUCGUCAGCUCGUGUCGUGAGAUGUUGGGUUAAGUCCCGCAACGAGCGCAACCCUCAUGUUCAGUUGCCAAUAUUAAGUUAGGAACUCUGAACAGACUGCCGUGGAUAACACGGAGGAAGGUGGGGAUGACGUCAAAUCAUCAUGCCCCUUACGUCUUGGGCUACACACGUGCUACAAUGGCUAUUACAAAGAGCCGCAACCCCGUAAGGGCAAGCGAAUCUCAAAAAGAUAGUCUCAGUUCGGACUGUGGGCUGCAACCCGCCCACACGAAGUCGGAGUUGCUAGUAAUCCCGAAUCAGAACGUCGGGGUGAAUGCGUUCCCGGGUCUU
rnacentral:rRNA from 1 species